rnacentral:rRNA from 1 species
GCUGUCUGGUCUGUAACUGACGCUGAGGCUCGAAAGUAUGGGUAGCAAACAGGAUUAGAUACCCUGGUAGUCCAUACCGUAAACGAUGAAUGCUAAGUGUUGGAGGGUUCCGCCUUUCAGUGCUGCAGCUAACGCAUUAAGCAUUCCGCUGGGGAGUACGGCCGCAAGGCUGAAACUCAAAGGAAUUGACGGGGGCCCGCACAAGCGGUGGAGCAUGUGGUUUAAUUCGAAGCUACGCGAAGAACCUUACCAGGUCUUGACAUACUAUGCAAAUCUAAGAGAUUAGACGUUCCCUUCGGGGACAUGGAUACAGGUGGUGCAUGGUUGUCGCCAGCUCGUGUCGUGAGAUGUUGGGUUAAGUCCCGCAACGAGCGCAACCCUUAUUAUCAGUUGCCAACAUUAAGUUGGGCACUCUGGUGAGACUGCCGGUGACAAACCGGAGGAAGGUGGGGAUGACGUCAAAUCAUCAUGCCCCUUAUGACCUGGGCUACACACGUGCUACAAUGGAUGGUACAACGAGUUGCGAACUCGCGAGAGUAAGCUAAUCUCUUAAAGCCAUUCUCAGUUCGGAUUGUAGGCUGCAACUCGCCUACAUGAAGUCGGAAUCGCUAGUAAUCGCGGAUCAGCAUGCCGCGGUGAAUACGUUCCCGGGCCUUGUACACACCGCCCGUCACACCAUGAGAGUUUGUAACACCCAAAGUCGGUGGGGUAACCUUUAGGAACCAGCCGCCUAAGGUGGGACAGAUGAUUAGGGUGAAGUCGUAACAAGGUAACCA